AGAGAGAGACAUGCGCGCAUAUCAAUAAGCGGAGGAAAAGAAACUAACAAGGAUUCCCUUAGUAACGGCGAGUGAAGCGGGAAGAGCUCAAAUUUGAAAUCUUCAAGGUUUUACCUUGACGAAUUGUAGUUUAAAGAAGUGUUUUCUGCUGAAGUUUUGGUAAAAGUUCUUUGGAAUAGGACAUCAUAGAGGGUGAGAAUCCCGUAUUUGACCAUUAUUUUCAGCUUUGUGAUACACUUUCAAAGAGUCGGAUUGUUUGGGAAUGCAGUCCAAAAUGGGUGGUAAAUUUCAUCUAAAGCUAAAUAUUGGCGAGAGACCGAUAGCGAACAAGUACCGUGAGGGAAAGAUGAAAAGAACUUUGAAAAGAGAGUUAAACAGUACGUGAAAUUGUCAAAAGGGAAGCGUUUGACACCAGUGUUGUUUUCUCGAAAAUCAAUUAAAAAUGGCUCGAUUUUGUAUUGCUGAGACCUUAAAAGCUCACUGUACAUUUUUCGUGUCUUUUUUAAUGCACUUUCGUUUAACAAGUCAACAUCAGUUUCUUUUGUUGUAAAAGGGUCAUUGGAAGGUGGCUUUCUUUUCGGAGAAAGUGUUUAUAGCCUUUGGCCUCUGCAAUCGGAAGAGACUGAGGUCAUGCAGCGUAGACUCUUCGGGGUUAGAUACAUUUGUGCUAAGUUAUAGCUUUUUAUAGACAACUUGUUGACUAUAAUUAGUCUUGUAGCUUACUCGCUUAUGCUAUUUUACCUACGCUUAGGAUGUUGAAGUCAUCGUAUCGCGC
rnacentral:rRNA from 1 species